CGUACACACUGGCUCUGCCGG
rnacentral:misc_RNA from 1 species